UCCCGAGGGCGAUCCCGAAGGCGGGUCCGAGCCGUUCACGACGGCUUCCGGCGGUUCGGCGCCGCCCUCGCCGGC
rnacentral:tRNA from 1 species